GCAAGAAAAGCAAGCAAGAAAGCAAGCAAGCAAGCAAGCAAGCAAGAAAAGAGGACGUUAGCAACUUCUAAACAUGUUAUGUUGCUCCCACCCACUCUGGCCCCCUCCAGGCACUAGCUUCAGGUCAGGCUGGAUCCAGGACCUCACAGACCUUCAUCACGGUUGUCUGCCUCAUCAACCCAGUGACUGGACAAUAGGAGUGCAAUGGCUACUCCCUGCUUGACUGCAGUGCCUCUUCAGGCAGGGCAGGGCUGGUGACUGUGAUUGACAGCCCCACCGAGCCAGCUUCCCAAGGAGAAGGGUUGAUGUCACCAGAAGACUAGAGGAAAGUAAGCUACCAGGUGAUGUGGAUGUUCAGCCAGGCUUAAGUACCGCUGGUCUAAGACCUUGUUUUUCAUCCCUGAUGGCUCAUGAGAAUCACCUGGGAGCCUUCAAAAUAUCAGGUGAAGACCACCACCCCAAUGUCCACCGCUGAAUGACGGAUAAACAAAACGCGGUCUGUACGGACAACGAAAUGCCACUUGGCCACGAGGGGAAGGGCACUCGGACACGGGUACUGUGAGGCAGAUCCCUGGAAGUCACUGUGCUAAGUGAGCCAAGCCGGGCACAAAGGAGCCCUGUCGUCUGAGGUCUAGAGCGGUCGAAUUCAUAAAGACAGAAAGCAGGGGUCACCAUGGGCUGCCGGAGGGCGGGGUGGGGACUCGGUGUUUAAAGGGUAGAGUUCCAGUUCAGGACGACGAACAUUUCUGGAAGUGGUGGCGGCACGGCCACGUGAAUGUGCUUCUUGCUACCGAACUGCACGCUGGAAAACGGCUAAAACGGUCAACUUUACGUUAUGCACAUUUUUCCAUCGUAAAAAAAUGUGGUGGAAACAUACACGUCACGAUUAAAGUUUAAGAUCAUUCCACAAAACUAGGGCACCUGGGCGGCUCUGUCGGUUAAGCAUCCAACCUCAGUGCAGGUCAUGGGUUCGAGCCCUGCCUGGG